ensembl:lncRNA
UAGGGAGAGACCUGUUGUCUGUAACCAGUAACUAGUCUAGGGAGAGACCUGUUGUCUUUAGUUAAAUUUAUUUAAAUGAAUGUAAUACACAUUAUUAUAUCCUUCUGGCUAAAUCCCAAAUGGCACCCUAAAUGACCAGUUCAAAAGUAGUGCACUUUAUAGGGAACAGGGUGUCAUUUGGGCCAAAUAUAGGAUAAUUUGACUGUAGCCUUCUGCGUUCAGCAGAGACCACUUUUUCCUUGUUGGCACUUUAUCUGUUGGUUAGUAGGUGUUAUUAUAUUAUUGAACCUCUUGAGCCAUACGCUAUUGGGUUAGUCAGACUGAUCAGCAAGUCUCAAUAAGGUGUUGGGAUCAACAAGUCUCAAUAAGGUGUUGGGUUAGUCAGGCUGAUCAACAAGUCUCAAUAAGGUGUUGGGAUCAACAAGCCUCAAUAAGGUGUUGGGUUAGUCAGGCUGAUCAACAAGUCUCAAUAAGGUGUUGGGAUCAACAAGUCUCAAUAAGGUGUUGGGUUAGUCAGGCUGAUCGGCAAGUCUCAAUAAGGUGUUGGGAUCAACAAGUCUCAAUAAGGUGUUGGGUUAGUCAGGCUGAUCAACAAGUCUCAAUAAGGUGUUGGGUUAGUCAGGCUGAUCAACAAGUCUCAAUAAGGUGUUGGGUUAGUCAGGCUGAUCAACAAGUCUCAAUAAGGUGUUGGGUUAGUCAGGCUGAUCAGCAAGUCUCAAGUCUCAAACACCUUAGUAAUAUAUUCUGUCCAUGGACUCAUGCUACUCAUUUUCACUGGGGUUGUGUGUCCCAAAUGGCAACUCAUUCUACAUUUGACCAGGGCCCAUAUGGGGGAUAGGAGGUC